CCCUGAGUAACRGCGAGCGAAAAGGGAAGAGUCCAGCACCGAAUCCGAAGGGCGAGAGCUCCGAGGAAAUGUGGUGUUUGGGAGCGAGCGCCUCUCCGCGCGACCGAGGAGCAAGUCCCCCUGACCGGGGCUCUUUCCCAGAGCGGGUGCGAGGCCCAUAGCUUCUGGAAGCGCGGAGAACGCAAACUCCUACGAGUCGGGUUGCUUGGGAGUGCAGCCCUAAGCGGGUGGUAAACUCCACCUAAGACUAAAUACCGCCGUGAGACCGAUAGCAAACAAGUACCGUGAGGGAAAGUUGCAAAGAACUUUGAAGAGAGAGUUCAAGAGUACGUGAAACUGCUCAGAGGGAAACGGGUGGGCCCUCGAAAUCCUACAGUUCCUUCGAUUCAGGG
rnacentral:rRNA from 1 species